rnacentral:rRNA from 1 species
GACGAACGCUGGCGGCGUGCCUAACACAUGCAAGUCGAACGGAAAGGCCCUGCUCUUGUUCGUUGCUCGAUUGGCGAACGGGUGAGUAACACGUGAGUAACCUCCCCUUGUCUUUGGGAUAACUUUAGGAAACUGGGGCUCAUAUCGGAUAUGAGCUCCUGCUGCAUGGGGUUGGAUGGAAAGUGUCGGCGUUGGGGGUUGGACUCGCGGCUUAUCAGCUUGUUGAUGGGGUAGUGGCUUACAAAGGCUUUGACGGGUAGCCGGCCUGAGCGGGUGACCGGCCACAUUGGGACUGAGAUACGGCAGAGACUCCUACGGGAGGCAGCAGUGGGGAAUAUUGCACAAUGGGCGGAAGCCUGAUGCAGCAACGCCGCGUGCGGGAUGACGGCCUUCGGGUUGUAAACCGCUUUCGCCUGUGACGAAGCGUGAGUGACGGUAAUGGGUAAAGAAGCACCGGCUAACUACGUG